rnacentral:rRNA from 1 species
CCUACGGGUGGCAGCAGUGGGGAAUAUUGGGCAAUGGGCGCAAGCCUGACCCAGCAACGCCGCGUGAAGGAAGAAUGCUCUCGGGUUGUAAACUUCUUUUAAUAGGGAAGUGCAGCAGACGGUACCUCUUGUAUAACCCACGGCUAACUACGUGCCAGCAGCUGCGUCAAUACGUAGGUGGCAAGCGAUGUCCGGAUUUACUGGGUGUAAAGGGCGUGCAGAGGGGAAGACAAGUCAGAUGUGAAAUCCCGCGGCUCAACCGCGGAACUGCAUUUGAAACUGUUUUUCUUGAGUACCGGAGAGGUCAUCGGAAUUCGUGGUGUAGCGGUGAAAUGCGUAGAUAUAAGGAAGAACACCAGUGGCGAAGGCAGAUGACUAAACGGCGACUGACAGUGAGGCGCGAAAGCGUGGGGAGCAAACAGGAUUAGAUACCCCAGUAGUC